rnacentral:rRNA from 1 species
GCUUUAUACCAUUAUUAUUUUCAUUUAUGUGGGAGUCAUUGAGUGAAAUUAGUACAGGUAUUUUGUUGGGGUGACAGGAAGAUAUAAAAAACUCUUUUUAGAAUUUAAAACAUUGAUGUAUGAAGUAAUGAUCCGUUAUUAAUGAUUAUAAGACUAAGU